rnacentral:lncRNA from 1 species
AAAAAAAAAAAAUCGGGGCUGCUGGAAAUGGAGGAGGAAACUGAACUUUUUUUUUCUUUGUUGUGUUUUCUUUUUUGUUGUAUUUUCUAGCCGAGAGUGAUCCUCUAUUUAUACCAAUAUAGGAGGAGCUUUCUCAUAAAUACAUUGAAUAGGGAGUUACAACAUGGAUGAAUGAAUAGGGUGAAACCGACAUAUUUCAAAUGGAAAGUUACUGAUGUUUUCAUACGCAUUCAACAUGCAUUCAAAAUGAUGAAAC